GGAAACCUGCACAGAUGUUAUCCUACUGAUAUGGUUGGAUCUAAGUGGAACAGCAACGACCAGAGAAACACUGGUGUUUCCAUACGUUGUGUGAAAGACUGAGCACACACUCCUCAACAUGAACCUGACUGAUUGUGAUGAUGCCUUCAUGAAACAGAAAGAGCUCCUCUUCCUCCCACUUGCCUUGUUGGACUUCCAGAUCAAGAGAUGCUUCCUCCUCCCUAUCGUGCACGUUCACCACCCUUCCUGCUCAUUGCCAGGACUAAAAAUGCCCCUCCCCAUCUCUGCAACCACCAGCACUUUCUACGCAUGCCGAUUCAUUGAAGGCCAAAGAUUGCAGAGACGCUCCACCCGAGACUUCAGUGCCUUACUUUUCCAACAACGCCCCCUAAUACGACGUCCAAUGUGCUCUUUUAAGCCUCUGCACUGUUUUACAAUAAAUGAACUAUUGUCUGCAACCAUCUGAUCAGUAAUUUGAGACCAGAAUAAUUUGUAUAAAACAGAUCCUAAGGAUAUGAUUGUU